rnacentral:rRNA from 1 species
GCGCGGAAGAUGUAACGGGGCUAAACCAUGCACCGAAGCUGCGGCAGCGACACUGUGUGUUGUUGGGUAGGGGAGCGUUCUGUAAGCCUGUGAAGGUGUGUCGUGAGGCAUGCUGGAGGUAUCAGAAGUGCGAAUGCUGACAUAAGUAACGAUAAAGCGGGUGAAAAGCCCGCUCGCCGGAAGACCAAGGGUUCCUGUCCAACGUUAAUCGGGGCAGGGUGAGUCGACCCCUAAGGCGAGGCCGAAAGGCGUAGUCGAUGGGAAACGGGUUAAUAUUCCCGUACUUGGUGUUACUGCGAAGGGGGGACGGAGAAGGCUAUGUUGGCCGGGCGACGGUUGUCCCGGUUUAAGCGUGUAGGUGUGUGUUCCAGGUAAAUCCGGUUCACUUUAACACUGAGGCGUGACGACGAGGCACUACGGUGCUGAAGCAACAAAUGCCCUGCUUCCAGGAAAAGCCUCUAAGCAUCAGGUAACAUCAAAUCGUACCCCAAACCGACACAGGUGGUCAGGUAGAGAAUACCAAGGCGCUUGAGAGAACUCGGGUGAAGGAACUAGGCAAAAUGGUGCCGUAACUUCGGGAGAAGGCACGCUGACACGUAGGUGAAGUGAUUUACUCAUGGAGCUGAAGUCAGUCGAAGAUACCAGCUGGCUGCAACUGUUUAUUAAAAACACAGCACUGUGCAAACACGAAAGUGGACGUAUACGGUGUGACGCCUGCCCGGUGCCGGAAGGUUAAUUGAUGGGGUCAGCGCAAGCGAAGCUCCUGAUCGAAGCCCCGGUAAACGGCGGCCGUAACUAUAACGGUCCUAAGGUAGCGAAAUUCCUUGUCGGGUAAGUUCCGACCUGCACGAAUGGCGUAAUGAUGGCCAGGCUGUCUCCACCCGAGACUCAGUGAAAUUGAACUCGCUGUGAAGAUGCAGUGUACCCGCGGCAAGACGGAAAGACCCCGUGAACCUUUACUAUAGCUUGACACUGAACAUUGAGCCUUGAUGUGUAGGAUAGGUGGGAGGCUUUGAAGUGUGGACGCCAGUCUGCAUGGAGCCGACCUUGAAAUACCACCCUUUAAUGUUUGAUGUUCUAACGUGGACCCGUUACCCGGGUUGCGGACAGUGUCUGGUGGGUAGUUUGACUGGGGCGGUCUCCUCCUAAAGAGUAACGGAGGAGCACGAAGGUUGGCUAAUCCUGGUCGGACAUCAGGAGGUUAGU